GCAGACCAGUACUGGAGUUCGUGGUGCUGGAAGACCGCCGCCCGACUCUGGGCCCCGGGUAGGAAACAGUCUACAAAUAAACAUUUUAUAAAGAUGAUCCUUCAAUACAUAUUCUACAGCCCAGUUAAAAUGUGAGAGGCCAUGAUCUACAGACAGCCAUUUAUAAAGGUGGAUCAGGGCCGGACACGGUGGCUCAACGUCUGUAAUCCCGGCACUGUGGGAGGCCAAAGCGGGAGGAUCGCUUGAGCCCAGGAGUUCGAGACCAACCUGGCCAACAUGGUGAGACCCCAUCUUUACAAAAAAAUAUAUAUAUCCAGGCAUAGUGGUGUGCACCUGUGGUCCUGUGGUCCCAGCUACUCAGGAAGCUGAGGCAGUUGAGGCUGCAGUGAGCCACGUUCUGGCCACUACACUCCAGCCUGGGCAUCAAAGUGACAAGACCAAAAAAAAAAAAAAAUGUGGAUUGGAAGGAGGCA
rnacentral:lncRNA from 10 species